UCUGGUGUCAGCCGCCGCGGUAAAACCAGCACCUCAAGUGGUCAGGAUGAUUAUUGGGCCUAAAGCAUCCGUAGCCGGCUCUAUAAGUUUUCGGUUAAAUCUGUACGCUUAACGUACAGGCUGCCGAGAAUACUGCAGAGCUAGGGAGUGGGAGAGGCAGACGGUACUCGGUAGGAAGGGGUAAAAUCCUUUGAUCUAUUGAUGACCACCUGUGGCGAAGGCGGUCUACCAGAACACGUCCGACGGUGAGGGAUGAAAGCUGGGGGAGCAAACCGGAUUAGAUACCCGGGUAGUCCCAGCUGUAAACUAUGCAAACUCAGUGAUGCAUUGGCUUGUGGCCAAUGCAGUGUUGCAGGGAAGCCGUUAAGUUUGCCGCCUGGGAAGUACGUACGCAAGUAUGAAACUUAAAG
rnacentral:rRNA from 2 species